GACGGACGCUGGCGGCGUGCUUAACACAUGCAAGUCGAACGGAAAGGCCCUGCUUUUGUGGGGUGCUCGAGUGGCGAACGGGUGAGUAACACGUGAGUAACCUGCCCUUGACUUUGGGAUAACUUCAGGAAACUGGGGCUAAUACCGGAUAGGAGUUCCUGCUGCAUGGUGGGGGUUGGAAAGUUUCGGCGGUUGGGGAUGGACUCGCGGCUUAUCAGCUUGUUGGUGGGGUAGUGGCUUACCAAGGCUUUGACGGGUAGCCGGCCUGAGAGGGUGACCGGCCACAUUGGGACUGAGAUACGGCCCAGACUCCUACGGGAGGCAGCAGUGGGGAAUAUUGCACAAUGGGCGGAAGCCUGAUGCAGCAACGCCGCGUGCGGGAUGACGGCCUUCGGGUUGUAAACCGCUUUCGCCUGUGACGAAGCGUGAGUGACGGUAAUGGGUAAAGAAGCACCGGCUAACUACGUG
rnacentral:rRNA from 1 species